rnacentral:rRNA from 1 species
AAUCUGGCAUCUUCGAUGUCCGAGUUGUAAUUUGAAGAAUUCGAUCUUGGAGUUGGCCCUUGUCUAUGUUCCUUGGAACAGGACGUCACAGAGGGUGAGAAUCCCGUGCGAUGGGGUGUCCAAUUCUAUGUAAGACGUUUUCGAAGAGUCGAGUUGUUUGGGAAUGCAGCUCAAAGUGGGUGGUAAAUUCCAUCUAAAGCUAAAUAUUGGCGAGAGACCGAUAGCGAACAAGUACUGUGAAGGAAAGAUGAAAAGAACUUUGAAAAGAGAGUGAAAAAGUACGUGAAAUUGUUGAAAGGGAAGGGUAUUCGAUCAGACUGGUAUUUAGUUAUCUUUGCUCCUUGUGGGUGAGGCUCUAACUUUUUACUGGGCCAACAUCAGUUUUGGUGGCGAGAUAAUGACAUUANAAUGUAACUCCUUCUGGAGUAUUAUAGCUCUUGUUGAUAUCGCCUACCGGGACUGANGUCUGCGGCUUUGCCUAGGAUGUUGGCGUAAUGAUCCAAUACCGCCCGUCUUGAA